rnacentral:lncRNA from 1 species
CCUGCAAUUGCAGGGCUGGAGGCACAGGGAGCCCGAAGCAGCUCAGCUAUGCGGGUCCAAAGGCCUCAGUUCCCUGGGGCCUGACUCAGGCAGCCCCAGAACAGGUUUAUGUGGGUGUUUUUUUCUCUCUCCCCAUGUGUGUGUGUGUGUGUGUUUUCAUGUGUGUGUGGAGGCCAAAGGUUAAACUUGGGUGUCCUCUCCAGCCCUCCUGUAACUUGUUGUUUGAAACAGGGUUUGCUACUUUGGACUUGAACUGGUCUUUUUGGCUAGGCUAGACAGCCCAUGUGCUCCUCCAAGGAACAGCCUGUCUCUGUCCCGCUAAUGCUGGGGUCACCACCUCACACUCAGGUUCUAACGAUUGUUACAUUGAACCAUCACCCCAUCCCUGGACGCAAGAUCUUGAUGGAGAAACAUCAUACUUCAGAAAUUGAAUGGAGGAGGCUGAAAUAUGUAGAGAAAUCUUCGAAGAGGAUUUCUGACCGUGGGGAAGAGAUGACCAAAGAGGACCCUGAAACCAGGCAGGGAGUGCCCACCACGAUACACCUACUUCAUGAAACCAGUGGCUUGUGGGUAGUUUUCAAGGACGUUGGAGGAAAUGGCAUGGUGACUGAAUCAGAUAUCCAAGAAACGUAGAGAACAGGAGGAUGUCAGCCUGGAAUCAAGGCUGUACAGCCAGGGUUAGGGGAGGCCAGCAGAGGGAGGCUGAGCUGUCGGGACUUCCACAGCUCUCUGAAACAGAAGUCACCUGCUUUCUGAUUGCUUUCUGAUUUUGCAUCUCCUCCAUCUGGUCUCUCUGGAGAAGUGACUCUUUCUUUGCAAAUGCCUGAAUUGCUUUGUGUGUUCACUAUGCUACCCAGCAGUUAUCCUUCCCUGUAGCAAGCUACCCAAGGUUGUCUCUCUCCCAUCCCCCCGCACCCCUCCGCCGCCCCCCCCCCACCCCACCCCGGGCCCGGCCCGGCCCGGCCCCGCCUCCCCCGCCCCCGGCCCCGCCCCAUGGGCUGUCAGGAGCUCUCAAUUGUCCUAAGAGAGAGCUCUUAGCUUCUAGGCCACCCUGGCCUUCAUAUACAACAGAGCCUUUUCCUGCUUGUGGUUUAGAGGUCCCAGAGCAGUAAAACCAGAAUCCCCAGGAGGCGGGGCUUUAGCAGGAGGGCUGGAAAUGGCUGGCAACAGGUGUUUGGCUCACACACAUUACAAGCAUCACUCAUCGUUCAUACGCUCCCAACAGCUGUCUGGGGUGUUGGCUCUUGAAUCCCACACUGUCAGCUGCAGGUCAGAAGACUCUGGGGUUACAUCUUUGGGUAGGGACCCUCUGGUGUCUUUUUAUGGGUCCAGUGUUGACUGAGGCCCUGUUUGAACUUGGUACAGAACAGCAGAAAUUGUCAGCGGAGGCGGAAAGAACUGGAACUUUCUGGAACCUUCUCAGGAGCAAUGAGCUUCCUCCUGGAGUGCUUCUGCUUACAGAAUCCCUUACAGUCGCCCAAGGCUGCUCCUGUUUGUGGCCACUUCUUUCCCUUCUAAUGUUAAAAUCAGCAAAAACCAAAAAACACAAAACACUCCAAAUAAACAGUAUUGAGCACUGACUAGCCAGCAAAAGCAU